ACAGUUAGCAUUGAUGAUAGAUUGGCUGUAUAGCUUGAUGUAAUCACGAGAAGCACAAAUACCCAUACAAUGACAACCAGUCUAGACAAAAUGCUGUCCACCCUUUCCCCUGCAAAAUGGUGAACCAUCAUAUUUUAGAACUUCAAAUUAACAUUGAUGCUGAAUUUACUCUUACUAUGCCUGUAUCCCUUUGUUUGUUAAAGACUGUAUUGUAAAAUAAAUUGCUUUUUUGUCAGCUCUUUCUCACUGAAUUUGACAAACGCAGUAUUCUGUAUGUAGAUAAGAAAACAAGUAUAGUCACUCACUAUCUGCAAAGAACGAGAAAUAUAUUGCUAUGCCAAGCUGGCGGAGAAAUGAGCCAGUCAGUUCAGCAUUAUUGCUUCGUCGCUCCAACAACCAUAUUACAAUUGCUGUGUAGACGAAGAAGGCGAUGCUCCCAAACCACAGAUUGUGAAAUGUACCUUCUGAUGCAGCUUGGAUAUCAUCUCCAUUGGAAUCCCUAAUGUGGAGAACCAGCUUUGUCUUAAAGUUCCUGUGGGCUUUAUAGAAAUCUUCCACAGCCAUCAAAAUGCUGGUACGUGCCAUUUUGCCCACCAACGACUUCAGGUGGAGAAUCACUCCAACAUUCAGUGUAUCUUCUCCACUCCCAGUGAUAUUUUGAGCAACAGUCAGACUGAGGAACAGGAAGAAGAUUGCAGCCCUUCCAGCUGCUCUCUCCAUCCCCAUGCUGUGUUGGUUGAUGUUCUGCUGGUUACUGAAUGCAUGGUGCUAUGAAGUCUUAUAGCCCUAUCCUUUUUUUUUUCCUUCAUUAUUCUGACUUGGUCAGAUUGCAUUAUAGUCUCUAUUGUCUCCGAAUUAAAAUUUUAAGUUUGCUUCUGGCAAUCUCUUCCUUGCGUAAGAGGCUACUGUUCUGUUUAUAAGUACAAAAGAGACGUUUCUGAAUAGAACCAUGUUAGGGUGAUGGCUGUGGAAAUUCUGGGUUGGAAACCCAGGAAGAAUGAGCUGGAAACGCAUAUAUACCUUCACCUUCCUCAAGUGAAUCAUUGGUCCUCAAGGAAUGGGAUUGUGAUAGUCAAGGAAGUCGGAACUCGCGUUUGGCAUGGGGAGUUGCUCUGAAUGUUUGACUCUCUUGGCAUGCUUUGAUGUGUGGUACUCCCUUUGUUUCCAAAUGUUUGUUAGCUUUGACUAUUAUUAUUUCAACUUUGAUCACCGAUAACUUUGGAAUGACGAGAUUUUGAUAAAUAAAGGUUGCAUGGCAACGGUGAGAUUUCA